rnacentral:lncRNA from 1 species
CGCAGAGUUGGUGAUUUUAAACCACUUUUCUAGAGGAAGAAUAUUUUACUUAUACGGUUGAAUGUAUGGUUUAUCAGUCAUCUUUCCUUUGUUCAUCUAAAUAUCUCCUCAAUUUGACUUUCACCGAAGUGCAACUGUAUUUGUUUGCAAGGUGUAUAUGUCCCUGAGGUUAAGAACCGUCAAUCCAGAAGAGGAGACCGGAGAAAUUUAGAGGAGACCGGAGAGCACUAUCCCAAAAACUACCAGACGUGUGUGAACUUCAUUCGUCUAAUUUCGACUGCAUUCUGGCUAAUUGGUAGGUUUGAUAACCAAAUCUCACACUCUACGUUGACUUCUGGCCACUUCUAAAUAGACAAAUACUUAUUUCCAGCUCCUCUUGGAAAAGGUCAAGGUCCAGGUACAGAAGAUCCAGAAGAGGGAAAAAUGGAAGGUCAAGGUCUCUACUAUGCCUUUAGUUAAUUCCUGCAGUUUUCAAAUUGUUUUGGUAAAUGAAAGAAUCUAGACUUCAUCAAAUGCAGAACAUCGAGAAAAGUAACACUUAAAAAUUUUGAAUCAUGGAAGAAAAUAGCACAGUAUAACAACAAAAGUUAACAGAAAACCAGUGCAAGCUCAUUACUCGUGGUAUUAAUUAUCUGGAAAACCAGUGCCAGACAAGUGUGAACCUCAUUCAUCUACCUUGGGCUGCAUUCCGGAUAAUUGGUAAGUUUGAUGGCCACAUCUUACGCUCUAAUGCAACUUCUAUCCACUUCUAAAUGGAGCAAUACUUGUUUCCAACUUCUCUUGGAAAAGAUUCUGAUUCGAGAGAAAAACCAGCAAGCACAGUAGACACAGAAAAUCCAAGAGAGAAAGGAAGAAUCUAGACUUAUUUCUGAAGUUUUUAAAAUGUUUGAACUUUUCUUCGAGCAAAAUUGUUUGAACUUGUUUUUGGUAAAAGAAUCUAGACUUCAUCAAAUAGAUUUUGAAUUGGAAGAAAAUAGCAUGGUAUAAAAACAAAGCCUUACAGAAUUUGAUUUGGAAGAAAAUAGCACAGUAUCAAAACAAAACCUUACAGAAUUCCAUUACUAUAUCACUACCCGUGGUAUUAAUUAUCCGGAUAACUAACUACCAGACAAGUGGAAAAUUCCUUCAUCUAGCUUGGACUGUAAUCAGGAUAAUAGGUACGUUUGAUAACCACAUCUCACACUCUACUUUAACUUCUGACAACUUCUUAAUGGAGCAAUACUUGUUUCCAGCUUCUCGUGGAGAAGAUUCUGAUUCCAGACAACCAGGCAGUACAGAAGACAGAGAAAUUCCAAUAGAGGGAAAUCAAGGUCUCUACUACGCCUUUACUGAUUUCCUGCAGUUUUGGAAUUGGUUGAACUUGCUUUUGGUUAACAAAUCUAAACUUUACGACAUGCAGAACAUGGAGGGAAAUAAAUUUUGAAUAAUGGAAGAAAUAAGUACAGGAUAACAACAAAAAGUAACAGAAAACCAUUACAACCUCGUAGCAUCAGUAGCCUAAUGGUUGACAAUUCACAGUGAUACACGGCAUAGGGAAUAUUUUCUGAGGCACAACUUCUGCAUGCCUUGUUCUAUGCAAUGCGAUCAGCUAGCCGAUUUCUGCACAAAAAUAUCAUGCUAAGAACUUCUAAAUUACUAAGAUGCUAGAUGCAUACCACAGUAACAGUAAUCACGGAGUUCAACACCCUUAUGAGUUGCUUGUCUAAUAUAUUUUACCUCUGUUAUGCUUAACUACUGAAGGAUCUGCAUCAGUGCAUCUGGUACUUACUUUCAAAAAGGAAAACAUUAUGUACUCAUUUGUGGCCACUAGGGUAUCUACAGAAGGGUGCGAACUGUGAAGAUGGUAUAGACUGGUUUGCUCUGUCAGCCUUGUGUCCUCUCCAAUUGUUUAAAUUCAUUGCAGCUCAACUUACAGGAUGCAUUAUCUUCUGGAGAGCCAUUAAAUAAAAUAAAACUUUUGCAAUUUAGCCACUAUAUAUCAAAUGAAACUAUUAACAUGUGAAUUGGUCACAUACUCUCGUGUUUAAAAUUAUUUUGAAAAAAUAGAGGUGUAAUUAUGUAAAGAGGGAAGAUAUAUCACAAUACCAAAGAGAUUCAUUGAAACAAAAAUAUACUGUAGAGAAUUGUUAUAACAGCUAAUGCUUCUACAAAGGAGUCCUUGUACUUUCAGGGAUGCUGUGUUGCUGCAACCUAAGGGUUUAUUUUGCCAUUUUGAUUUAAAAUCAUUCUAAAACAUUAAGCUAGCAAAAGGGGAGUCUGGUAUUUAUGCCCAUAUGAAUUGACAUAAUUCUUUUAACUUCAGAAUCAAGGGCUAAUGUUUUUCUUUUGCUUUUCACGUCUCCUAGAUGACCCAGUUCUCCUUGAAUCUUUGUCUCAGGUUGACAUGAUUUUAAACAAGUUCACUUUUUUCUUCAUGAAUUACUCAUUUCAUCUGAGCCACUUGCCUGAAAGAUAUCAGGGAUCUCAAGAACUCAUCCAUCUUUACACAGGAGGUACCAGCCCUCUUUGAUUUUAAUACUCAAAAGCAUAAUUUCUGUGGAAGUAUUGAACAAUAUGACCUUCACAUUUAAUACUCAAAAGCUAAUGGAAGUUCCCAACAAACAUGUAUAAAUAUAGCUUCUCAAGAAAGGAGGUCUCCAAAUAGGCAGCAUCUGCUUACAACUAGAUAAUUGUCGCGCAAGAUUUAACAAUCUUAUGCUUGUUAAAUGAUACAAAUGCUAUACAACACACUAAAUGAUGUGCUAUGUCGUAAUUUUAGCUCCCUGCUACUCUUGAACAGUUUUUGUUCUUAUCAAGGCUAUGCAUAGUUUAUAUGGAAGAUACACCACAACCACAUUUUACCAUCCCAUUGUAACAAGCAAACCAAGUACAAAAAUUGCUCUAGAAUUUUCUCUUGCCACAAGCAAUAGGAUAACACACUGCUUUUUACCAUCUCAAACAUCAGUUAUUUGCAGAAUAAACACAGUGAACAAGUUGAUUGGCACAAACAGCUCAUAUCAUCUAGAUAACGAGUAUCAACUUAGAAUAGUUUUUAAUGAAGGUAACACUUCUCCUACCAACCAGACAUCACAGAUAAAGUAGAUCUUUGUGUGGCUCAAUUUAGUGACAGCUAAAGUUAUAAAACUCACAAGAUCAUGUAGUUAACAUCAUAUGCUUUAUAAGAUUAGACAUCAAUAGUAACAUUAGGUAUCAAUCAGCUAGAAGUCUGAACAUUGACCCCACCAAUAAUAAGACCCUUGCAUAGGAAAAUCAACUCGAAACUUCUUUAGCAUAACCCAAACCACCCCUGCAGCAUAUGCAGUAAAAUAGUCAUGCUCAUCAAUUGUCUUCAAAACACUAUAGGAUUAUUAGUUUUUAUGAGCAUUUCUUAAAAAAACUAAUUGGAAUACAUGAACCUUUUUGUUUCGGCUCCAUUUUGGUAGUGAAUGUGAAGAUUAAUACCUAAUGGACAAAUAUUUACCAUACAUGGUCAUCCCUAUGUCCCACAGUUGCCAAUGCUAUGCAGAAUCAGUUUCCCCAUCAUACAAGUCACACAUAAGCAUGUCCAAAUGCUUUUCCAACUUUAGAUAUUAAGUAGGGAAAGAAAGCAUGUACAAAGGGAGAAAUCACCAUCACGCUGCUCUGCUAAGAUAAAAAUAUAUAAUGUUUUAUGGUAACCAAAAUUCUUGAGGAUAAUAACAUGCUUCAAUCAACACAGAUGCCCAUGCCAAUAAUGAGUAUGCUUCAUACAUACCCUUGGACCACAUUACAAAGCUUCAGUCAAACUGAAACUAAGAAAACUUGGUAGUCAUAAGGAACAUUAUCACUCAAAAUCUCAUCCAAUACUCAAAGUUCAUUCAAAAUUCAGAAUUGGGCAGGCUCCUAAGGAACAUUAGUUACACUAUAGAAAGUAUAUUUUAAGGAAAAUAUGAGGAAAAAGAACAAAGUGGAUAUAUCUAUUUCAUGUACCAGAUUGUGAUAAAAAGAAACAACUCACUUUAACCGCUCAUUCAAAGCAAUUGCAUUUAACACAAGGAAAUGCUCACAAACACAUCAUUCAAUAGUCAGAUACAUUAUGGAACUUCUUUUACAUCCUUAUCUUCUGAAUUAACAAAACUCAACAAAGUUAUAAUCUAAUGCCUUCCAAAUUCCACAACAGAAAAGCAAAAAUCCAAAAGCAACAGAAAUUGGAAAAUAAUCAACAACUGAAAGUGGAUACUGUAAUAAUUUUUAAAACAAUUAGCACAGAGCAUUAUGCAGACUCCUUCAACGGUCAACAUUCAAAUACCACAACGUACAUCGCUUUAUUAUUCUCGUCUAUGAUUUUGAACAAUUCCCUCUUUUCCCCUACCUAUUCCUACCUUUGAGUCUUUGACCUCAAUAAUUUGGCAAACAAAAGAUAAAGCCAAAUAAACUCGAAUAGACAGCUUCUCAAACCUGAUCGAUGCACCAAUCAAGCGGACUCCUCUUCGAAAUAAUGGACAUCCAACUCAACGACCAAUCACGCUUGCAGAAAUGAACUUGAAACAAAUCAGCCACAGGUUAGAUGAAUCGAGUCGAGCGGGGGGAGUUCCAAGUACAACAUAGCUAUGAUAGCAUCUAAUAAUCAAGAGCUGCUAAAAGAUUUUGGGCAGAAACUUGCAAAAAAUAUUGUAGAAUAUUAGGGAUUUGGAAAAAUUGGGGAAAAUGUAUAGGAGAGAGAAAAAUGAACCUUUCCAAUGAAAACCUUGCCCUUUAAUGCUGGACAGCCAUGGUGAUGCUAGUGAGAAGCCAGAGAACGGAUUUGUUGUGUGGGUAAAAGUAUCAGGUGCCGUGCGGAAGCUCUGUUUUGUGCUCAGUGCAGAAGCUUGUUUGUUUCAGCUCAGUGAAAGUUUGUGUUGCUCAAGUGUUCCGUUGCUUUAACUCAGACCAAGUGUUCCGUUGCUUUUGUUUUCAGAAUGUGUUCCGCUGCUUUGGUCUUUGCUUUGCUUUGGAUAUUGUUUUUGUUGCGCGGCACUUUCACUAUGAUUUGAUCAAAAUUUUGACUUCACUCAUUUUCCCUCCAUUUGAUACCAAAAAUCAUGUUUUUUUCUGGAUUUGUAAUAUGGUUUGAACCAUAGAUUUUAGUGCUAUAGUAUUAUUCUUUAUUUUUUAGCAACAAAUAAAAAUUUUCAUCAACAUAUGUGGCAAAAUUUGUUAAUUUCAUAUAAUUGAAAAUGUACUUUUAUAAUUUGCUAAUAUUUUAUACUAAUUUCUUAUAAUUGCAGCACUAAAGAACAUCAUGUAAUUGAAAAUAAUUAAACUCAAAUUAUAUGGUUAUAACAUAGUUUCAAUAAAAAUAAUCAUUUUCCCAACAUUUGAGAUCAAUCAUCAUGCUUUUUUUUUAUUUUUAAUUUGGUUUGAAGCAUAGAUUUUAUUGCUAUAGUAUUAUUCUUUAUUUUUUAGUACAAAAACACAAAUUUUCAUCAAUAUAGGUGGCAAAAUUUGUUAAUUACAUAUAAGUGAAAAUAUACUUUUAUAAUUUACAAAUAUUUUAGCCCUGCAAUUUUUUAUAAUUGCAGCACUAAAGUACAUCAUUAAUUGAAAAUAACGAAAGUCAAAUUCUAUGGUUAUAACAGACUUUCAUUAAAAAUAAUCAAAUGCUAUUAAUAAGACAUUAUUGUUAAGUCAAAAUCAAAGAAAAUUUAGUGAUGACAUAAUGUUAUCACUAAUUUAUUCAAGAUUAUAAUGACAAGAAAAGUCGUCACUAAUUAAAUUGCUAGUUUUUAAUACUUUUGUGAAAAUAUUGAUAAUGGUUGAGAAAAUUUUGUUACAUUACUGCAAGUGAUAAAUGUACUUUUGUUCUUUUUCAAACAUUUAUUUUAAUGUUUAAUUUUGUUUAAAACUAUUGUACUAGUAUAGAUUUGCAAGACAAAACUUAAGUUCUCAAUAGUUAAAAAAUUCAUUACAGAGAAAACACAAAGUAGUAGUUGCAAAAUGUGUAUAAAUUACAGAUAUUUUAAUGUGUAUAAAUUACAGUUUAUUUUAAUGUUUAAUUUUGUUUGAAACUAUUUUACUAGUAUAGAUUUGCAAGACAUAGAUUUAUGGGUAAUUUCUUUUUUUUUUUUGCUUACACAUAUUUAAUUUAUGUUAAAUACAAAACCUACCAGUUUCCCUUUCAUAAAAAUAUUAGUGCAAUACUUUUUGAAUUUUACUUACAAACAUUUAUGUAUUUAAUAUAAAUUAAAUGAUUCAAAGUGAAAUGCCUAUAAAGAGCAGAAUAUUUGUUCAUGUAAUGGAGGAAAUCCACAAAGAGUUGGUACUUUAUGGGCCAUUUCUUUUUUUAAAAAAAUUUAAUUUAUGUUGAAAAGAUAACCUGCCAGUUUUCGUUUUGUAAGAAAUCAGUGUAACACUUUUUGAAUUUUACUUACAAACAUUUAUAAAUUUAUCAUAAAUUAUAUGUUUGAGAGUAAAAUGCCCAUAAAAAGUUGGUACUUUGAAUAGAUAAUGCUCAUUUGCCCAUAAACUACACUCCUUGAAGGCUAUUUUGUUAAUUACUUUGUAGUACUUUGUUAUUCCUUUGCUAAUACUACUUGGCAUGUAGUACAAAGGAUAAAUCUGGCAUAAAUUCUUAUUCCAUUGAUAAAAAACCUGCCUGCCUUAUAACUAUUGUAAUGAAAGAUAUAUCUUUAGAGUUUAUAACAAAUUAUUACUUAAGUUUGAGAAAAUUAUAAAAUAUUUAUGCAUAGUUUAUCAAGAUACCAUUCGUAAUUUUCUAAUAAAAAAAUAGGGGCUAAAUUGUAAAAGCUAGGGUGCCAUAAUAAAAAUAAUAAAAUUGGUGUAUUACAUAUGGGGGUUAAAUUGUAAAAGUUAGAGUGCCAUAGUAGAAUUAACGAAAUUGGUGAAUUACAUAUGGGGCUAAAUUACAAAAGUUAGGGAGUAAUAAUAGAAUUAAAGAAAUCGGUGUACUACAUAUGGGGCUAAAUUGUAAAAGUUAAGGUAUCAUAAUGGAAUUAAUGGAAUUUUUUACAACAUUUGGGGUUAAAUCGCAAAAGUUAGGGUGGUACAGUAGAAUUAAUGAAAGUGACUUAGAAAUAAGUACUUUAAACAGUGACGAUUAAUUCUUGUCACUAAAUCCGAAUCGGUAGAGUGACAGUGACGAUAUUAGAAGUUGUCACUAUAUAGAUCAUUUUAGUGACAACUUUUUCAAGGUCGUCACUGAAGACUUAGUUACUUUGAGCAAUUAUGACAACUCUCCUUGUCGUCACUAAACAACCACGUUUUGUGACGACUUUUGUCGUCACUAAACAAUGUUGUCACUAAUGACCAUAUUUCUUGCAGUGUAGUUUGUGACGAAAAUAACGGGUCGUCACUAAACAUUUAGUUGCUUUGAUGCAAUUGUGGCAACUUUAGGUGUCGCGACUAAAGAAGCUCCUUUUGUGACGACUUAUUGUCAUCACUACAAAAUGUUGUCACUAAUAACAUUUUUUUUAGUGAUCAGUGACGACAACAAAAAGUCGUCCGUAAAUAGGCCAAGCAAUAGUGAUGAUGUUCUUAAUGACGUCACUAUUGUGUGUUCUAAACACUCCCGCGCUCUUGCUAAAUCUUGGCGGGAAUUUACUAGUGACGACUUUUCUAAGUCGUCACAAAUGAGUUGGCUCCCAUUAGAGGUUUGUGACGAGUUAGAAAGUCGUCAAUAAAGGAUCCACUUUUGUGACAACUUUUUUUCGUCACAGAGAAAAGUUGUCACUGAUGACCAAUUUUCUUGUAGUGCAUGUAAUCCUAACUAAGAAGAAAUUCAUUGUUCAGACCUUAAGACACUUGUAAGUACCAACCUCCAGCUGACCCUGAGACUACCAUGGGGUGAAGGCCAGAAAUUUAUUCAUUCAAGAACAGAAAAGUGAAGAAAACAAGAGAGAAAAGAGGCCACUAACUAGUCACAAUAGCUUCUGCAGGGUGGUAGAUGAGGCUUAAUCUAUAUACAGUAACCACCAGUAAGCGUAAUAUGGAAAAACAGAAAAAGAAAGAAAAUUAAUUUGAGUAAGGAACUCAUAACAAGAGAAAACGGUGCUAUUCACAAAUAUGUGGACAAUUGAUGUCAUAUACUGUUCAGUAUUCUACUGAUUAACAAGUUACAGAUGUUAAAUGGAGAAGUAAUUCAAGAAAUAGUGAAACCACAGAUUGGCAAAUUAAGCAAUUAUUGACAGCUUUCAUAUAUAUACACAUAUAUAUAUGUGUGUGUGUGUACUGAAUCAACUCAUCUAGCUUCGUAGAAAACGAGACUCCCAACAAAAACAGGAUCUACAUGUCUGACCAAAGUAUCAAGGUUUCGAUGCUCUACAACGUUUCCCUUGCGAUCCCAAGUUGCCAAGAUAUCGCCUUCCAUCUGCACCACAAGUUUUUCAGUCUUUGUAAAUCCAAAUGCCUUCACCACUAAUUUGUCUGUAAAAAUUUUUGAUUUAGUCCAGGAAUCAGCCCCCUUUAUACUCCCUCAUCACCCCUAACUCGUAGCAUUUAAGUCUCCCAACCCCUCUAUCGCUAAAGUCGCCCAUCCUAAAAAGGGCAAGCAACCCCUUGAACACCAACAAGCUCCCAUCCUAGAAAGAGUUGCAGCUAACAGGCAACUCAAUCUCAGAAAACUCCCUCACGAGAGAUAUCAAAGCACAUGAUUGCAUCUACAAUCGAUUCAUUCGUCCUGCGAGCCAGCCAAAAAAUUGAUCCAUUGCAACAAACUGACCUUUGAUCGACUAUACACUUCACAUUCGCACUAAUCUUUCUCCAAUCGUCAGUAUUGACGCUAUUAACCUCCACUUCGGGUGCCACAUCCCCAACAUCCUCAAAUUCGCGUCUUUGAUGUAAUUAAUCCUCACAACCUUAAAGUUAUUAGUCAACUCAGAAAACCCAAAUCCCAGUUUUGAAUAGGCUCUCCGAAGAUCAUAUAUGGUAUCAGGAAAGCAAGAAACAGCUACGAACUUGAGUUUCCUGAUGGAUGGAUUGUACAAACAAAUCUUCCUCCCAGUAUAAGUCUUCUGAUCAGUGAAACAGAUUAUUCCAUUGCAAGAAUUCGCAAUAGAUAAAAGUUUAAGAAAAUUGGAAACUGUUGGAAUAUCAAAUUUUCCAUGCUGAACGAAUGUGCUAUCGCAAUAUAUGUUGGAAACUUUUCAAAAUUUGUAUGAUGUACGUACAUGUAAUUAAUGUAUAUUCAUAUUUUUUGGUACAUGUAUAGUAUUGUGAAUGUUUCUAUUAUGUACAUUCAUUUAUGAAUGUGUUCAUGUAUAUGGAAAUCCUUGAAUGAAAGGAUAGAUUCAUGUUUUGAUCUUAAAAUCAUGAGAUGCAUGAAUUAAAGUGCAUGAAUUUGUACACAAUACUUUGAAUCUAUUCAUACAGGUAUUUAAUGAGUUCUUUUGUUUCUCAAACAAUCUUCCUAUAUAAAGAGGUCAAGUAGAGAGUGAUUUGCUGCAGAAAAUCACUUUCCUACUAUUGUAUACUCUCUCGAAAGCACUCCUUAGUUCACAAAGGGUUUGUCUUGCUUUGUGCAAGAGUUUAAGACAAACAAAUUUCAUCUUAUCCUAAAAGAUAUUUGUUCAAGGUUAGUGCACGUUAUACCAGACAAAUAAAGCCUAAAGAAAAGUGAUGUCUAUCACGAUUUGAAGCCAAUUCUUGUCACCAUAUUUGCCAGUCCUUUACCAUUUACCCAACAAUAUAAUGAAUAUGAAUAUCGUUCAUCCUCUCUUAAAAUAGUAGGCAUGUGCAAGACAUGGCUAGAAUGGCUUUCACAGCUAGUGUAAGACUUAUUAGCAAGCGAGAUACAGUAAUUCUUGAGAUGUUCAUUAAUGAAAAUACGGCUUUUAAUCAGAGAGUACCCUGAUUUUGAGACUGUAGAGAAUCUUCCAAGAGCCUUCACCGGCAAUCUUGAGAGUAUCUCAAUUAUGAUUUCACGUGGGAAAAACUCAAAGAUGGAAGAGUUAACGUCAGAAUUUGACUGAUUAGGAAUACCCACGUGUCAAAUUCAAGAAUGUCUCCAAAGCUCAGAAAAGCAAAAUAAAAGCCCAAAAAAAAAGAGAAAAAAUGGUUUUGCAAAUUGAGUCCAAUUCAUACGUAUGAAGGUUGAGUGAAAGAUGAAGACAAUUCAGGUAGUGAGUCCCAUGCGAUAAGAGUUCACCUAAACGGGAAAAUUACGACGUCUAAUUAAUGUCUAAACAAUCGAUACAAACAUAGAAAUCCCCAAAAAUUAAGGUAGUGGACAUUAUUUAAUUUGUGGUUGGCAUAUUAUCCUCUGUCGUUUAGAAUAGGAUUUUUCCCAGAUAGAUUUGGAGUUCACCUACAAAAAAGGUACUGAAAAUCACAACAUGUUUAUUAGAUACAGUCCUAUUCAGAGGAGAAAACGAUGUCAGGAAAACGGAAUUGAGGUAGUUUCAAAGACAUGUGCUUGCUAACAUGGAAAUUAUAUCAUUGAUUGAUUCAUAAGUGGCUUUUCCUUUACAUAUAUAUUAUCUUCAAACAAGAACUAUAGAUAUUUCUUUGCUUCUGAUCCACAAAAGUUUUCCUAACUGAGAAGGAGUUUAAUAUCCAGAUCUUAGACAUUUGAAUUAUUCCUCCGAACAGCAAGACUGGGUGGAGAGAAUUCAUUCAAGAACAGAAAGAAUGAACGAAAAAAAAAUCCGUCCACAAUAAUAUCUGCAGGGUGGUAGAGGAUGCUAAUAUAGAUGCAGGCACAACACCAUUAGCGUUAAGCAUGAAACUUAUAACCCUCCUCCCCCGGCCCCGGCAAACCAAAAAAGGAAAACAAAAAGAAGAAAGAAGAAGAAAACUCAUAAAAGAGUACCAUGAUUUGGCGACUGUAGAGAAUCUCCCAAGAGCCUUCACUGGCAAUCUAGAGAUUAUGAUUUCAGUUGGGAAAAAGAAACAGAUAGAAGAAUUAACAUCAGGCGUCAGUUCAUUAGGAUUUUCCAUGUCCUAAAAUUCAAGAAUGAUGCUAAAGGUUAAAGAAUACCCCAAAAAAACAAAACCCUUUUAGAAGGAUGAGUCAUGACUCAUGAGUGAAAGAUUAAAAAUAAUAUAAGCAGUGCACAAUGAGAUCCUAGUCAGAUUCGGAAAAGGAUAUUCCCUAAUUUGAAGAAGAGUAAGGAUUGCUGUCCGAAUCAGGCUAGUAUUGAAUCUUGAGCUUAUGGCAGUAUGGAAACUUACUGCUGAAUGGCAUUCAGCUGCUGCUGAAUGGCAUUCAGCUGUUUGGAAACUCAUUGGAUUAGGUGAUGUGUCUUCUAUUUGGUUUAGCAUGCAAGAGCAAUAUUGCUAAAGGAAGGAGUAUGACAAACCUUAAAUAUUCGAUGCCAAUCACUUGACAUUUUCAGUUUAUAUUAUUAAUAAUAAGAUAUUAUCAAAUAGUGACUAUUAUAAAAAGAAUAGUUUUAAUACAGUACGUACCAGACCACGUGAUGCACAUGAAACUGCGAUACCUUUCCGAAAGAAUGGUGAUGAUCUUUUUAUCCAUCAUCUUUUGUAAGGAACAGUUUUCUUUAGUGCUUUGAGACAAAUUUAUUGCUUGAUUUGCUUAUGAGUUACUAAGAUCUCUCAAUUUUCUAAGACAAAAAUUAUCUUUUCUAAGAUCUCAAUUUUAGUUACCGGACUAAAGCUUCCUUUCUUGGUAAAUACGUUAGAGUUAUAUCACAGGGUUAGACAGGUAAUUUUCAGGCAAAUUUGAAUUAAGAAGGGCCUAAACCCACAUAUUUUUGGGCUUUGUUAGACCGGACUUAAGAGUGUGUUGUGGGCUGCCCGAGCUUACCCACUUGAAUAUGCAUAAAAAAACUUUGUCAGUGAAUUGGAAACUAUCCAACGCAAACUUGGGCUGUCACAUGAACUUCUUUUUUUUUCCGUGUGUAGUGGAAAGCAGUUUUUGAAUGGUUAUUUAUUUGGAAAAAUUUCCUUUAGCACUUUCCAUUGUUAAAAAUGUGGGUUAUUUUAAAAAUGUGUUUACAUUUUUUUUUGAAAACAUUCCCAUACAAUGAUGAAGUUUUUUUUUUUUUUUUUUAAAUUAAACGCAAUGGUGAAGUUAAACAUUGAUUCAUUACUUUUACCUAACAAAUUGAUAAAUUCUAAUGUUUUAUUCUCAUGGUUGUUUUUGUCUUAAUUUUCUUUUGAGAGAAUCCUAUGGUAAACUACUCUGUGGUAAAAGGUAAAUUACUCUCUGUUGUGUUAAAAAAAAAUCCAAAAAGAAAUGUUAGCGCCCUGUUUUUAUAUUUAUCAUUGUAUGGAUCAAAUCCAUUUUUGUCCAUAAAGUGGUAAACCAAAUGCUUGGACAGUUAGAUCCUUGUACACAGCAAAAACUGAAAAAGACAUCACCCAAAAUGUCAGAAUUAAUUAUCAAGUGCUUAGACAAUACACAUCUUUUCUUGAGAAAUCUGUCUGGCUAGUUAUUUGUUCAGAAUAUAAUUGAAAAGAAAAGCGUUGUUGAAUUUUUUUUUUUUUUAUAAAGAUAUUAUCAAAAACCAUAUCCAAAACAAGCAAAAAAGUUCCUAAAACAUCGAUUUUUUUUUUCACCACUUAUAUGCCUAGCAAUUAGCAAAUCAUUACAUUCUAAUAUUUUCUCCUUGAUAACCUUUUUUUUUAAAAUUUCUUUUGAGAGAUUAUAAAUAAGAGAUUUUGGACUUAAAAUCUUUUACUUAAAGAAAAAAAAGAAAGAAAAGCUAAGAAUGUAGCUUGAAUAGAGUAAGGUGCUUUGUCCCUCUGCACAGUAAAAACUAAAAAAGAAAUCACCCAAAGUAACAGAAUUAAUUACCUUCCCACUGCCCCUAAUAAUUUGCAAAAACGGUUGGGAUAAUUUCAGAAGCCUCCCUUGAGGUUUAUGAUAGUUUCACUACCCUCCCCUGAAGCUUUCAAAAUAUCAUUAACCUCCCUUAAAACUAAUGUUCUUGUAACAAAUUACCCCAAUUCAAAAAAUCAACAAUGAAAAAAUGAUUUCAAGAGCAAGAAGAAUAUUUCAUACCAAAAAUGCCCCUUAACCUAUUACUAGUUCGUUAUCAAAAGGAAGUAUUAGUUAAAAAUCGAUAAUAAAGACUAAACUCUGGCAUGAAUAUAACAGAAUUUAGCAACAAUGACUUUUUUUCAUAGUACUACAUAAAAUAGCAAAAUCAAAGUAUUGGAGAGGAAAACUUGUUAAUUUGGAAUCAAGAUUUAUGCGAAAAAUUCCUAAACUCUUAUAGCUAGUUUGGAAGCUGUGAUUUGAUGAGAAAAGAAAAGAAGGUAAUAGAAAAGACACUUUUUCUAGCAUUUGAGAGUUUUUGAAGGGGCAGAAAAAGAUGGAAAGCGUUUGAUUUGAACUGAUGAGCUCCUACUAUUAUGGUUGCCAAAGUUUUCUGCCCAAAUAUGGGCGGAAAGCAUCGGAAAAGUUGAGAAUGCCUAAUAAAUUUUUUCUAAAUACCAAAUUUGUCCUCAAAUGUGUAUUGAACAAAUUUUUAUUGCUAUAUAUAUAUAUUUAUAUAUAUCCAAAAUCAUCGCUUUUCCUAUCUUAACUCCUAAACAAUAUUAAAAUCUCUUCUCUUCCUUUCUUUUCUUUUCUUUCAUAACUUAACAUUUCCCAUCUUUUCUUUUCUAACCUAAACAUCCAAACUAGCUAUAUUAGUCUCAUAAUUUGAAAGAUUUUGAAAAGGAAUUGAACAAAACAAAGCAUGGCUUUUUUUAAGAAAAAAAAAAUCACAAUAGAUGGCUAAUGACAAAAAAUAUAGAAUAUGCUAAAAUAUGUUAUGUUUUUUGAAUUUUUUCUUUAACUUACGGGGUCCAUUAUUUCACACGAUUAACAAGAAAUUUCCAUCAUUUGUAAUUAAGAAAAACCAACUCCCAACCAACGAUUGGAUUAAUAAAAGGGUAUGAUUUGAAUGGAAAAACAAAUAAAUCAAAGUAGAAAUAAUUUUUUCUAACCAUCUUGUUUGGAUUACUUAUACAAAGAAAGAAAAGAAACACCAAAUAUUUUGGAAAAGAACGGAAAGAAUAGAUUAUGUGUAGUUACAUUUUAUCCAUAAUUUAAUAAAAUCUAAUUGUAAACAUAUUUUAAUACUUUACCCUCUUUUUGUAUAUUUUCAUAUGCAUCUUGUUAUUCUUAUGAAAAAUUUAUGAAAUAAUAAUAUUUAAAUAAGAAUUUUAAUCUUUUUUUACAAGAUAGAAAUUACAAGAACUACUAAAAUAUGGAAAAAGAAUUUUAAAAUGAUAACAAUUGUUGUUAUAAAAUUUGGUAUUCAAAAUUUUCAAUUUUUUUUUGUAUUCAAACUCAUGGUUAAUUUAGUACAAGUGACUAAAUUGGUCCUCUCUGUAUAAAUUCGUAAUUUUUCCUAAGUUGUAAGGAUAGUAAAGACAUUUGACCAUCCACAAGGUAAGCAUUGGGCUCCAAAUAACUUAUAGGGGAGGUAAGUAGUAUUUCUAAAACUUCAAGGAGGGCAGUGAAAUUCUCAGAAACCUCAGGUGAGGUUUCUGAAAUUAUCCCAAAACGGUUACGCAAAAACCUAUCAUCAAUCCCCUCAUAAAUCUCCCUACUUGUAGAUCACGGUAACCGCCAUCAUCUCCCACGUUCUCUCUCCCCUCUUCUCUCUCUCUCUCUCCCUCCCAUUCUCUCUCAAUAUCUAUCACUCUCCCAAGUCACAGCUGAUCCUGUUAGUUUGAUUAGGUUGUUGGUUAAGGUAAAAAAGCACAAAACAAGAAUCUUAGUAUCUGUGCUAUAAUUCCGUCUACUGCUAUUCAACAAACAAAAGACUGCUUGUUUAAGACAUUAGUGUACUUUCCUCAGGUUCGUCUCUUCCUCUCUCUCUCUCUCUCUCUCUCUCUCUCUCUCUCUCUCUCUCUCUCUCUCUCUCUCUCUCUCUCUCUCUCUCUCUCGAAUGUUUUGAGCAUCUUAUGCAGUCAAUGUUUUGAGCAUCUUAUGCACUCAUUACACACUAAUAGUAGAUUUUAUUGUGCCUUUUUUCUUUCUCGGGUCUUUUUAGUUUCCGUAUCUUUUCAUUGAACCAACUGUUUAGUCUGUCUUCUUCCCCUCGUCUCAUUAAAACCAUAUCAAAAAGUCUGCGCUAGCUGGUACUAUUCUUGUUCAUCAACCUCGGAUUUUGCUGUCGAAAUUCGCACUGACUAUUAUCAUUGUUUGUGUGUACUAGGAUUCGUGACUAAUGGCUUUGAGCUGCUAUUCCAACUGGGGAGAACUGGAACAACACCACGACUCAGAGAUGACUCUGCAGUUUGCUCAACCACCAGCAGCAGAGCUGUCUCCUGAGCUUCUUGGCUUCAACCACAUGAAUUUUGCCUUUUCAGACCCUUAUCUCGACCCUAUUCUUGAAUCCCAAGAUUUAGUUUACUCAGACAACUACACCUCUUUGCUUCCCCACUUUUCAUCUCCAUCUGAUGAAAACUCCAAUAGUUUAUAUUCCCUCGUCCCGGAAGUCUUUCCAGAACUCGAAUACCAGCCUUGCCACAGUGCCAAACGCCAAAAGAUUUUCGAGGGCUGCUACAAUAACUCGGAGGUGUUACCUUCAAGUUUUGGCAGCAGGUUCAUUCCCAAUCCACCAUUGCUUCAGGAGCUUUCGCCGCCCGAGAUUCUGUCUCCAUUUUCUGGAAGCUUAGCCAGUAAACCGCCAGUUUUUUGCAGUGGAAGUACAGGUGAGAUGACUGUGAAGAAGGCUAGUAAUGGAGGGACUUUGUCUUCUCAAAGCAUAGCUGCUAGACAGAGGAGAAGGAAGAUUACCGAGAAGACUCAAGAGCUUGGGAAGCUUAUUCCUGGUGGCCAGAAGAUGAACACUGCUGAAAUGUUCCAAGCUGCUUCAAAAUAUAUCAAGUUCUUGCAGGCUCAAGUUGGAAUUCUUGAAACCUUGGCUUCUGUUCAGGUAAUUCUACUUACUUCCUUUAUUGAGAUUCUUUUUCGUGCCAAACCUGUUAUUGUAAGUUUCAGGGCAUAGGAAAGGAUGGAAAGGAUGGAGAUGGUGGUUUUUUUUUUUAAAAUUUUUUUAUUUUAUUUUAAGCUGAUGGCUGGUGUCUUUUUACAGCCUUACCAAACAAAUCUUUGUAAAUUUGUUUUGCAGUAGAAAUUGCCCUUUGGGUACUUUCCAUAUUUACUAUCAUAGAUAGGAAAGAAAAGAUCUUAUUGGGCAAUUAAGGGACCUCCUUGCUCUAAGAGAUACCUUUUAUGUAAUUUGCAGAAACUUAAGAAUAACUUAAGACAUCUUUUCUCUUUCAAGUUUUAACGUGAAAAAAGAAAGAUUUGUUUAAUCUUUUGAGGAUGUUAUAAGCUAAUUAGAGGCAGAACUGCCUGUAUCUGACUCGUUUUCUCUCUAGUUCUUUAUUGUUGCAAAGUAUCGAUAUUCAGCUUAUAUGAGCAGAAGAAAUCUUGAAAUUUUUGGUAUUUCAGAAUACAGAUUCUAUGACUUUUGUAGAACUUGAUAAUGUAAAUGUUCUGGUAAUUGAUAUUCAGAUACUUGAAUACACGAAUCAUAUGUGUAACUCUGGCGAUAUAUGCUUGCAGGAAAAUGGGAAAUCUUUGCAGAACGAAGAACUUAAUCCUCUUCUUGGAUCUUCUUUGAUCCAAGAGAAAUUGUACUCAAUGGAGAUGUGUUUGGCUCCCCAAAAAUUUGUUCAAUCCCUUGCGGAGGAUAAUGGGGUUGAAUUGAACACUCAGGCCUUGAAUGACUGCAAAGAAUUGAUUGGGAUUGGCUGCUAAGAAGCACAUAUGAUGGUUUUGACUUCUACUGUUGUUUUGUCUGUUUGUUUUUUUAACCAAUAUUCAUUCCUUACUUUUGUAUUCUCACUAGAUCGAUGUAGGCUAAUCUUUAGGUUUUCUUUUCUUUCUCACGUUGCUAAUCUAAUUACCCUCUGAUCUGAUCUUUUACUUGUAAAUUCCUCCUUUACAAGGAAUAGAUUGAAGUUUCUUUUUUUUUUUUUUUGUUUCAAUCCAAUCUUUAAUUUGUCAUUUCGUUAUCUUUCAAUCAUGAGGACACUAAAUAGCCUUUAAUUGUGAACCAGUUAAUCGCAUUCAAUUCAGCAGCAAAAUCGUUACGCUUAUAAUUUUAUGCUUCUAAGUUGUCUAGGUGGGAAAAGUAUUUUCCUCCUCUUUUUUUUUUUUGAAUAAAAAUUAAGUUUAGGAGGAUUCAGUUCCGACUACCAUCACAAGUCAGUCAAGAUAUACUACAAAAUCGUAGGUCGCUCAUAAAGGAUUUUACAGAUCUCCUGCCAAUACAGUCGACAACAAGAUAAUCAAUCAAAUUGGUCUUUUUUCUUUGCAUAUUACAAAUUUGACAUGAUUCAUCAAAGAUAACCAAUCAAAUUGACAACUCAAUCAUAACAUUUUUUUUCUUUUUCUUUUAGGUCAAUCUCCAAUUCUUACACUAAUGCUUGGACCCCUAAGUCCUAAUCAUCUUCUAAUCUAUCUAUAGGAGUUUAAAGAUUUUAACCCUAGACCCCAGCCACGGUAUAACAUCUUAUUGAAUUGGCAAAAUUAAGGUUUGCCAUAUAUAUAGAGAAAUAUAAACCUUCCUAGCAAGUUUUUAAUGCUUCAUUUUUUUUAAAAAUUUUUUAAUGCUUCAUUUAAAUUAACUGAUAACUGCUCUAUAUUCCACCAAAUCGAAGAGUGUUGUUUUUUUUUUCACUGUGGCUGUAGAUUCGUACUCUAUUAUUCCAUGAAAAACCUCACUCUGAACUGCCAAAGUUGAAGUUCCCAUCAGAAUAUUCUUCCUAUUGUUGUAUCACACUAUCACUUCCAUGUUUUAGUAACAUAAUUUUAUUCUUAACCAUUUAUUUCUCAUUUGCUUACGUCCUUUCUGUUUAACCUUUCAGUAAAAGUUCUCUGUAAAUUUUCCACGACAAAAUAAUUAAUAAGUUCAGGAAGUGUAGUUCUUUUUUCUUUUUCAGAUAAAGUAUUUACUUUACAAUUGGCCUAUGUGAUGUGCCUUUUACGAUGGUACUAAAACUCUACUCCUUUAAUGGUAUAUGGAGGAAAUUAUUGUUACUUCUUUUGUUUUUCUUUUUUUUUUUUGGGGUAAAAGAUUAUUGUUACAUCUUGUGAUGAGUAUAACUUUGAGAAGCUUUAAAUUGUUUACAUGCUUUCAAGUCGUUAAAUUUUUCUAAAUUUGUGCUUCUAUAAAGUAAUUUCUUGCAAAGAAUUUUAAGGUACUAUUCAAUCAAUUAAUAUACAGAGAACAAUUAAUGGAAUGAAAUAAAUUUUGGUAACCAUGAAAUUUUUUUCCUUUUGUUAAAAAUAGAUUCCAAGCCUAACAAGAGAAUAUUUGGGCGUCGAAACAAAAAUAUUUACCAUGAUUUAGCUUGAGAGUCAAAUUAUGACAACUAAUUUUUGGACAAAAGAAUAAACAAAUCCGCCCUUAAAAAUACUUGAUUGCCCCAUCUGCAAACAAUUGUGGAGUAAAUUCAUAAAAUUUCUAACAACAUGAGUUUACACAAUAAAAUCCUACUAAUGGUGUCUUAGAUGGAAUAACUCAUCCAAAAUUCAUAGACUUGCAUAUUAUUGCAGUUUAUAAUAUCAUUAUUAACAAAAACUGCAUUAACCAAUUAUUCAUAAUCCAUAACACAAAUAAAAAAAAUAAAAUAGAUAAUCCAUACACGACCAAAAUAAAAAUCCAUUUUUUUAAGAAUUUGUAUAGAAAAAUGUACCGUAAUGAUUUGAUGUAGGUAAAGUAAAAAGAUGAAUGAAAAAUAUGAUCACGAAAAACGUAAAUUUUUUUUUAACAGAAGCCACAAUGCAAACAAAGAAUAUAAGAUUCAUAUGCCCAAAAAGGGAGAAAGAGGCCCAACUUAGAAAUUGUACUCCGAGUAGCUUCAUCUUUUCACAACCCUAAAACCCUAAACCCCUAAAGUCCCGGAACUGCCGGCGGUAAAAUCUCUCCGGCGAGCGUGUUUCUCAAAACCACGCUUUCUCUUAAAAGAAAAAUCCCACAGCUCCACGUGUCCCUCUCUUGUUCAUUCAAAAGCAAAUGGCCGAUCAAGCAACUACAUCUUGGUGGAAGGAGCUCCCACUUGUAUUCAUCAGCCCACCAACGGCGUCGUUUGAUGACCUCCCUCGAGACCUAGCCAUCAACAUCCUCUCAAGACUCCCCGUCAAAACCCUAGCCCAGUCAACAGCCGUCUCCCAACACUGGUAUUCUCUGAUCAAGAACCCUAUUUUUGUCCGAGCCCACUUCACUCGUUCAAUUUCUCAGCUAGCUGCUACUAGUACUGACCACUGCAUUUUAGUCACUCCUAAGGAAUUUUCUGAUGAACCCACUUUGUCGAUUUUCGCCGACAACGAAAAUUAUGACUUGUGCUGUAAAGUUAAAAUCCCAUUUCAGACCUGGUCGAAAACGGUACAAAUUGUGGGUUCCUGUAAUGGGCUUGUCUGUUUGACUGAUGAGGUUGAUUGUGCUUAUGGCGGGGAUGUUUACUUGUUUAAUCCUGUUCUUAGGAAGUAUAAGAUCCUGAAAUCUGAGUUUUCUUGUUAUUGUGAUUGGAUGGAAAAGAAUUUUUCAACUUAUCCUGUUUUAGGAUUCGGGUUUUGUGAGCGAGACAAUGAUUUCAGGGUUGUCAGGAUUCUUUAUUCAGCUCAUCAUGUUGGGGAGAAAUUGAGGCCUAGGGUGGAGGUUUAUAGUUUGAAGAGUGGGAAAUGGAGGAGUGUUAGGGCUAAAAUUGAUCAUAUGGUAUUUCGGGGUUGUAAUGCUUUUGUUGAUGGGUGUAUAUAUUGGCUUGCUGCUGAGAAGGCUCAUGGUCGAUUGUCGUGGGUGAUGUGGUUUGAUUUGGAGGAUGAGGUGUUUCAUGACGUGGAAAUGCCAGAGAACUAUGACAAGGAUACUUGGGACGAUAAUUUGCCAGUUAAUAUCAUGCGAUGGAAUGGUGAGGUUGCCAUAGGUGCUAUUGAACCAGGUGGGACAGGGAAUUAUGUCAAAUGUGGCUUUUGGGUUUUGAAGAAGGAUGAUGGUGGGGAGUUGCUUUGGGAGAGGAAGUUUAAGCUAGUUUUGAAGGAUGCACUGUGCGGGAUUCCAGUUGGAUUUACUUGGUGUGGGAAAGUUGUGAUUGAUGCUCUUGAUAGAGAAGACCAUUCACGUAGAAAGGCGAAUGCUGCACUUACCAAGACAGUUGCACUUGACCUCAAUGACAUGAAAUUCAAGGAUCUUGCAGUGGAUGGGCCUCACACAGUGGCUACUUGUUUCGAGGAAAGCCUUGUUCUGUUCUUGGACUAAAGUUAUCCUCUUGCCUCCCCUGUAGGUAUUUUUAUCAUCAAACCUUGAUUUUUUCCUGAUACUCCAUUAUCAUACGAAGUUUCUGAUUAAGCACCUGCACAAUGAAUCUUGAUUGUUAGUUGAAAAUUUUAUCCUAUACGUCGAUGCAGAUGUGUGUUUCUCAUGGUUACUACACUGGUAGCAUUUUGGGAAGUUUGUAAAAACAAGAGCUUUGUUUUCGAUUACCCAAAACACGAAAACGUGUUCUUGAAUGAGGAUCGAUUGAAUUUACUCUUGUAGGCACAGUGCAAUGUACAGUCGUGCAUGCUAUAUGUAUUCCAGGUUCUGUUAAACUAUUUUGGUACAAAUAAUUCAACCAAUUUAUGGUUGGAUAUAUAAAAAAUUGAUUGUCGGGUUCAGCUCAAUUAGUAGUCCUGUGGUUGUUUGCACUGAAUCGAAUGGACAACCUAAUUCAUAUGUGGGUUCUGAAGGAUUUUUUCUAGCUCUGGAGCUUGACAUUUUCAACUGUCUAAGCAUCCAUAAUUGGAUCACUAGUCGCCAUGUCACAUGUUGAUUUUGUGGAGAUACCUGUCUUACUUUUAUUGUAUUAACAAUGGGGAGAUAUUUUUUUACUUGAGAGGGGUUUGUAUGCUUGAGAGUGCUUGAAAUCCUCAGGAUGAUUGUGAACUAGCAGCUUAUGCAAUCUGAUUUUCUUUCUAAAAGUUUGCAUUCGCAGAAAGCAGUAGUGUCCUGUUAAAAACGCAAAAUGUGGAAAGGAUUAAAAACUUGGUCAUUAAAAAUUGGGUUUUCUCAUAUCAUUGCCCUUUUGGCUGGUCAUUUCUCUCCUGCAGCACAUACGGUUCUUAGCAAAAAGAUUCAUGGAUCAGAAUUAUAUGUUCUUUGUUCCCCUCUUUUAUUCAGAUUAUGCAAUCUGCCUUUAUUUCUAAAACUUUGCAUUCACAGAAAGCUGAAAUGACAUGUUAAAAAUGCUAAAUGUGGAAAGGAUUGAAAACUUGGUCAUUAAAGUUUUGGUUUCUCCAUAUUGUUGCCUUUUUGGCAGGUCUUUUGUCUCCUGCAGCACAUAUGAUUCUUAGCAAAGAAUCAUGGAUCGAAAUUUUUAAGAGCUUUGUUCCCCUUUUAAAUCAGAGUAUAAGUCACAUAGACCAAUUGUUUUUCUGGCAUGGUUGACUUUUUUAUGUGCCACAAAAUUUGCUCUUCGUUGACAGCAGUGCUUCACCACUGCACUUUCAUUAACCGUAAUGCUUCAAUACUGCACUUUGAAUCUGUGGAUUGUCCGUCAUGAUUUGACAGGGAAUUUGAUUGAAGCAAAGCUCAUGGAUUGUUUUAGAUCUUACACAUUUAUUUAUAGUUUUGCUAGAAAUUGAGAGUCAACUGUAUGUUAUAAUCAUAGUUUUUCUCAAGAAAUAGUUGGUUGUAUUCUUGCUCAGGUCUUUUUUCCUUUCCCAUUCUCUGAACUAGCUUAACAACUGGACCUGCUUUUCUGAUGCUUGGUUCCCCAGAGUACAUGUCAGAUCGUUAAUUGUGAAUAUAGGUGUAAUAUAGUCAACUUGUUGUGAGAUAUAGCAGGCUUUGCUUGUAUCCAUUUUGGAAAACAAGUGGUGGACAUCCUCAAUGGGAUUUAGUCAUCUGAAUGUCUGUUUCUUGAGUCAUGGUACUUAAAAUUUGCAAUCAUUUGGUGGAAUACUGAAAUGCAUCUCUUACUGAAGAUCUUCAGUUGCCUAUGUAUUGGAGCCGUAGUCUGUUUUGCUCGAAGUAAACUAACUUGCUUUGUGUUCUUUUGGUACUUUGUACAGGCAAGGACAAGAUUAAGUGAUCUUUGCUUGCUGAUGAUUAUGGAAUUUCCAGACUGAUCCCAAACUGUGUAGUUGAAGUAUGUAAAGUGAGUAGAGUGACUGUCUUGUGACUGCUGAUUAAGAUAUUUGCUGCAUGAUCAGAUGUUUACAUCUGACUUACUAGGAUGAAUUGUUGAGGAGGUGUAUCUUCCUGAUCAGAUGGCCACAGCUAACUUAUUUGGUGGUUUAUCGAUUAUGCUGCUCUAGAUUAUCAGGCGUUAAAUCUUGUUCUAAUCUUUUGUCUACACGUAAUCACCCACAAACAAAACUUGAUAACAUGAGAAUGGCCAAGGUCUACAUUUGUUCAGCACCCAUCACUCAGGAUGUCGUUCCUGAUGUAUUACAGGGAGAAAUGACCAGCGUUUCUCAGUCAUCCAGAGUCGUCCAAAGCCCAGCAGUUGUUGGCAUUAUGCCUUAAACAAGGGGGAGAGGUCGAACCUCUUAAACAGAAACAAAACAUGGAGUUGCAGCCCCUAUAAUAUCUGCUCUAAGCAAUUCCCUGAGCUCAUGUGGCGGUUCUGUGAUGAUCUGCAUCCCAGGAUCCUUGUUGACACUGGUUUUGGCCAGCCAAUCUGCACAUUUAUUUCCUUCUCUCCAAAUGUGUUGUAGCCGGCACUCCCAAUCCCUGUUUCCAUAAUUCCUAAUCUGACAUAUCAGAUUGUGGAAAGGUGAAUCCUGUCCUGCUCCUUGGAUUAGGUCCAGUGCUGCCUUCGAAUCCGUUUCCAGGAUCACUCUCCUUUCUCCUGAGCUCCACGCCAUUUCCAUCCCUUUUGAGUACUCCCCAUCGCUCUACUGUCGUAUUGUCUGUUAGCCCAAUAUUCACUGCGAAGCCAGCUUUCCAUCUUUCCCAGCAUUAUGCCUUUCGUUGGCUUAGUCUCUAACCAAAUUCUCAUAUUCAUCUCCUAUUUUCCAACCAGCUCUGGGGACAAGGUUAUUGCGCUGAACUGAAUUCCCCAUGAGAAAGAAGUACCAGAUGAUUUCCGGUAAGUUCUCAAGUGUAUUUUGCAAAUGAGCUUCUUUAUCAAGACGCAAACAGCCUUGGUUGCCUGCCUAAACCGUCUCGCUGGAAUGAGAUCAUUACAUUUUUUUUCGGAUCACUGCAUACCUUGACUAAGGCUAAUCACUAGUUGUAAGUUGUAACUGCAUAAUCAUGAGUGUCGUGAAGAGGAUCGGCUUAAAGCAGCAAAAGAAGUGGGCCACAAUGAAAUGUUAAUUGGGUACUGCGCAGCAUUAAAAAUAUGAAAAAUCGUUCAACAUGUCAUUCACUUUUGAAAUGUUAAUCUUACACCUCUUGUAGAUUUAAAUUUGCAAAAUUUGGCCUCAACUUAAGUUUUCAACUAAUUUUUAAUAGGGUUAUUAUCACUUUAUCCCCUUAAACUAUAUCACUACUAUCAGUUUACCCCAUAACGUUAUUUUUUAAUCACUUUACCCCCAUAAGUAAUUCAACUCAACAUGUUAAGAAAUUUUGGACAAAAUACCCUUUUAUUUUAUAGUAUUACUACAUUGUUAUUAUCGCUUUCUUCGUUUGGAUUAUAGUGAUACAAUCGCUUUAGUUCCUAACACUAUUUUCUAGACAUUUUACCUUAUUAUUAAUCUAACUAGUAUGGUCAAAAAAUUUUAAAUAUAUUUACCCUUUUUAUAUAUAAUUAAAAAUAAAAAAGGUUGGAAUGAUUAUUCUUCCUUUUUUCACUUUAAGAGAUAGAAAAAUUCUUUUUUUUUCAUACUUAUUACUACUAGGAAAAGAAAAAGAGAUAGGAAAGAAGGAGACAAAAAAUUAGAUUUUGCAAAAAAAGAAAAUAAAGAAAAGUCUAACAUUAUCGUAUUACUUUAAGGUUAUCGGGAUUAGAAUUGAAAUUUGGUGGUAAACAAAAAAGUGAAAUAAUUUUAAAAUAAUAAAAGUAUUUAAUUCUUUCUUAUUUGUAAUUUUUAAAAAAAGAAUUGAGCUCUCUCUCUCCCCCUCCCCCUCUCCAUAUUUCUAUUUUUUUUCAAUAUUAAUAAGAUUGCCAAUGAAAAAAAUUAAUAUUUUGACUUUUUUUCUUGAUACUAAAAAGAAGAAGAGUCACUCUAAAUUUUUUAUUAUUUUGAUUAUGCAAAGAGAGGGUAUUUUCUUCUAAAGUUUUUAAUUUGCUAAGUUGGUUUAAUGGUAGGAUAAAUUGUCUAAAAAAUAAUUCUAGGGUGUAAAUUGAUAAUGAGACUAUAUUUUAUGGGGGUAAAGUGAUAAUAAUUUUAAGGGUUAAACAUGUCUUUUCACUUUAAUUAAUAAACUCCAUUAAGUUUGACCAUUAGUUUUGGGGAUAAAAUGACUAAAAGAUAACGUUAAGGGGGAAAUUGAUAGUAGUACCAAACGUUAAGGAGGUAAAGUGAUAAUAACCCUUUUUAAUAUGAAAUCGCCACACAAUCAACAUGUAGUCAUUUUCUUUUAUGUAUAAAUAGGUCAAAUUCAACUUUUUUUUAGUGUAAAAAAUGAAUAUGGAUUAGGUCAAAUUUCACAUUUUUUUGGGAAAAAAAAUGAAUAUGGUUUGAGUCAGAUUCUACGUUUUAGGAACAAAAAUAAAUAUGGAUUGAAUCAUUUGUUUAACUAUAAAUGAGAUUUAACCUUUUUGUUAAAAAAAAAAAAGAUCAUAUGUGGUCACUUGAUGGAUUAAGGAUAAAUUUUAUCGACUUAAUUUUGUAGGGGAUACAAAGUUAGCAUUUAAAAGUGAAGAACGAAAAAAUUCGUUUGGCGAAAUGUAAAAAACAAAUUAUAUUUUAAACGAUUUUUCCUUAAAAAUAAAAAUAAUCUGAAUUUGUAGUCCUUUCUUUUAUUUUUUUAUUUUUUGAAGAGAGAAUUUGAAAAUUUUCCGGUGGGCUUCUUUUCUAUCUCCUUAAAGUGUUUCAGUGUGAAUUUACCUUUUUCUUGAAGGGACAUAAUAUAGGAGGACCUAUCAAAAUUCACGUUUUCAGUGUAUGUAUGUCACAAUAAAUAAAACUAGCCAGCUGAAUAUUUCUCAAGACUUUUAUGCUUUUCAUUUCAAGGGACAAUUGAUUAUUGAUCUAGGAAACAAGAAAAUCAAAAAGUAAUUGAGGAAUAUGCGAUAUUUUUCUAUAUCGUUUAGGAGGAAAUGUUGGGGUAGUCAAUUAAAAACCCUGAAAGAUUGUUAUCGUUAGGGGAAAAAAAAAAUUAAAAACCCUGAAAGAAUAAAAAACAAAACGAAAAAGUAAAAUCCGACUGGAACGUUACGACGUCGGAUUAUUCAUACAUUUCAUUUCCGUUCUCCCGUUGAACCCUACUAAAACCCUCUUCUGUGUCCAAUUUCAAGAAAUAGCCCCAACAAGGGUUUAGAAGAAGGAAGUUAAAAAUGGCGAGCCGUCUCGUUCAUUUCCGACCGACGGCGAGACUUCGGUGGCUGUCUACAGCAACAGAAACGGCAACGGCAACGGCAACGACAGCGACAACGGCUGUGACCCAAGAUACAGCAACGGCUGUGACCAAAGACAAGCCUAAUAUCUCUCUGUUCAGGAAACUGAAGGAGCUGAAUAUUGGACCAGGCUCAGACGCUAAUGUUUCAGUGGUUCUAGAUGAAUGGGCCAAUGAAAGUCAGGCUAAACGAUUCGAUGUUGCUAGACAAAUCAAUUUUCUCCGAUUCCGCAAACAUUACCAUCUAGCCCUCCAGGUAAUUUCUUGAAUUUGGUUAUUUUCUUCUUUCUUCUUCUUUUUUUUUUUUUGUAAAAAUUGUUUCUUUAGGCAUUCCUAGAUUUGUGGAUGAAUGAAUAUGCGACACGUGAGAUUUAUGCUUUAGAUGGUUUAUUGUGCUUGUGGAGUGUAUUUAUUCAAAUCAAGUUGCUGUAUUCUUAUUGGGUGCUAAAUUGUUGUCAUGUGGUGAAAUUUUCUUUGUAAUUGAUAUUAGUAUGCAUUCUAAUCUUUUGUUUCGAUUUGAAUAAAAAAAACUUUGAUUGUUUUAUUCCUUUUCGAAUGCUUAUUAUUCUUAGACAGAUAGCGAAUGUGAUUGUGGAAAAGAGCAUUACUUUAUCAUAGGAAGAAAAGUCAUUUGUUGGGUAUGCAAGAAGUGAUUGUUUAUUUGGGUAAUAUGGUCGGGUUGGAAACAGCAUAGAUGUGCUGUUUGUUAGCAUUGACAACUAUUUGUAAAACAGGGGAGGCAUAGAAUUUGGGUAGCAGAUGAUAUGUUUAUUGAACAUUAGAUGCUCAGUUUUUGUAGGAAGCUUUUUACCCUUAUGGAAACAAAAUCUGGGAUGUAUUCUUUUAAUAUGCUUGUUGAAAAUAGGUAAAGGAUCAAGCGUGGGUUGUAUAGGAAAUUGUACCUGUAUACCAACAAUGGGGAUUGAUGAGGAAGGAACAAGUUGAAUUGUAGAUUAAAUUGUAGUUAUCUAUCAACUUCAGGAAAUAUAUAGACUUUGCAUGGACAUCUGUUGAAUUAAUAAUAUCUUUUCCUUCCUUAGAUGGCAUUUUAUUUGCUUCUGUUUGUUCUCAAACUGGAUAGUUUGGUUUGGACUUUGUAAUUGUUUUCCUUAUCUUGUUACUAAUGCAGCUAUCAGAAUGGCUGGAGAGCAGCAAGAUUGAGAUGAACAAUGCUGACCGAGCUGUGCAGAUUGACCUUCUUGCAAAAGCUAAGGGUAUUGCUUCAGCUGAAGUUUAUUUUGAUGGUCUUCAGGGAUCUGCAAAAACAAACAAAACUUAUGGAGCACUUCUUAACUGUUACUGUAAGGAGAAAAUGUUGGAUAAGGCUGUCCAACUCUUUGCCAAGAUGAAGGAGCUGAAUUUUACUUCCACUCUGAACUAUAACAAUGUGAUGUCUUUAUACUUGAGCAGUAACCAGCCCGAACAAGUCCCUCUGCUUGUGCAAGAAUUGGAGCAGAAUAAACUUAAAGCAGAUAAAUAUACUUGCAAUCUGUUGAUUAACAGCUAUGCUUCCUCAAAUGAUAUAAACGCAGCGGAGAAAGUUCUUGAAAAGAUGAAGAAAGAUAAGGUAAAGUAUGAUUGGUUCACUUAUGGGAACCUAGCAACUAUUUACGUCAAUGCUGGACUUCUUCCCAAGGCCAAAGAAAUGAUAGGAGAGAUGGAGAAAUUUGAAAAUGUGCGUGAUCGUGAGUUUUUCCAUAUGCUAAUCAACUUGUAUGAGCUUAUGUCUGACUUGGCUGGGGUUCAUCAUGUGUGGAACUCCCUCAAGUCAGUUUUCCCCUCCCCCAGUAACACUAGCUAUCUCAUCAUGCUGUUGGCUCUGUUUAAAUUGGGUGACCUGGAAAACCUGGAGAAGUAUUUUAGAGAGUGGGAAUCUCAAUGCUCAUUGUACGAUGUCAGACUAUUCAAUGUGGUCUUGGAAUCUUAUCUUAAUAGGAACAUGAUUGGGGAAGCUAAUGCUCUCUAUGAAAGUAUGGUGACCAAAGGAAUUGAUCCCACCUUAGCGACACUGAAUAUUUUCACAAUCUACCACAUUAAGAAUGAUCAGAUUGAUUCGGCUCUGAAGUAUCUGGAGAUGGGUGCAUGCAAGACAAUCCCAGAGGAACAUAGGUGGUUUCCUACAGAUGAGACUAUCAAAUUGUUUUUAGAAUAUUUUGAGAAGAAAAAUGAUGCGACUAGAGCUGAGAAGUUUUGUAACAGCAUGAAGAAGAUUGGUCGUCUUGAUUCUACCGUUUAUGCAUCUCUGCUUUCCAAAAGUUGAUGACUAGAUCACUGCAUCGAAGUAUAGAGGUGUUUCUGAUUUAAAUAUGGCAGUGAGAAGAGGCCUUGACAAUUUGAUAUUUUAUACUGGCCUAAUUCAAGUCUUGCAAGGAAUUCGAGUUUAUGUUCACAAAUGCUAUUGUGCGAAGCAAAGCUGGCCUGUACUGAAACCUAAACUAUGGUGGUGAAAAUCAAUUUUGCCAUUAAUUCAUUAUGUCGUCACAAGAUGGUCACACACUCUAGUCAUUGUGGCUUUUUGACCUUCUCCUAGACAUGCCUCAAUUGUAUCCUAUCAUUCCUUAGCCUCUAGACCAACCACUUGAUAAUAGGGUUAUAAAAUGGGUACUAAGUGAAUUUGGGAUCAAAUUUAAGUUACACUAAAUUCAACCCACUUAAAGGUAGGAUUGAUCAGUGUACACAUACACACUCUAUUACAUGCAUGUAACACACAUAACAAAAAUAAAAUAGAAUAAGAGGUAGGUUGCUUUUUUCCUUGGAUGACUAUAUAUGAAUCUAAUCUUCAUUAACUGUAUAUAAUGCAUUUUCUUUGUCCAACUAGAAAAAAAUUGCUUACUUGUAAUUUUAGUAGAUGAAGAUAUUCAAACUAAUUUCAGGACUGAAUGAAUUUUCCACAUAUUGCAUUCCGUGUAUUUUACUAUAUGUUAACAUGAAUGAUAUAGAAUUUGAAUAUGGGUCAACUUGAAUAUCAGUCAUAAGUCCAAUUUCUUCAUAAACCAAGAAUUGAGUUUGAAUUCAAGAAUAUGAUUUGUUAUGUGAGUCGAGCUCAAGCAUAUCAAAACUCAAACUUAUAAAAUCCAAUUGACAGACCUAUUUCACUUGAACAGAUAAAAUGCUCAAAUAAGAUCAGUGGAAUUCAUUAACUUGAUUGACAACAGUUCAUGAAGGACCCUUUUAUGUCCAUUUGACUGUAUUACUUUUGUCAAAAGCCAACUAUUGAGCUUAGCAAGUAUUUCGCCCCAAGUACCUGUUUUAUACCCUGAUAAGGAUUUCGCACGAAAAUUACCCUCAAUGUGCACGAUCAGGAUGUCCUCCUAAGUCCCAGGGCUUAUCCGAUUUCAUAACCAGUGUCCAAAGCUAUUUAGGUCGGUUCUUGAACUUGUCUUAAUUGAUCUGUUUAAUUGAAAUGCUUGAAACUCCAAAACUUUGGUAUAUCUAUCUCUUUGAGUAUAUGGAAUUCUUACAAUCUUCUAUUCAUCUGUUUGGCUGAGAUAACCAAAUCCAAGAGCCAAGAAACUACUAUGCCUAUUUGAAUGCUUUAUGUUAAUGCUUGAAGAGGAAAUGCACUUAUAUUUUCUAAUACAAUGAUUCCAUAAAUAUGGUUUACCCAAUGUAGUAGAUGGUAUUUCUUUUUUAUUGGCAAAACUUUGGUUUUUAGCACAAAGGAAAUUGGAGGCUUUGACAGGGAGGGCUGUAAACCACAUAAAAUGUACCAGUUGGUUGCUCUAGGGUAAGACAUGAAUCUGAAAAGUUGGAGUUCAAGUUCACCAUGGUAAGGAAGCCAGAUCAAACAAGUCCCGUGCCUGAGUCACCUACUGAAGCAAGUAAAUCAUCAACAGUGGAAGAGAAGGCAUGGAACUAUAUAUAGCUGGUAUGCCUACGCCGCCAGAGGAGAUGAAGCUCAUUUCUUCUGGGAAUGCAAGGACUAAGAAGAAACCACAGCAGUGCAUUAACAAUUCAGUGUAUGGUGGUUGCAGCAGCGGCAGCUACAAGAGGGAAUCCUCGCAUCCCAAGCUCAAGGCAAAUGGCUGAAGCCAUAACCUGGAGAUGCUUUUGGAUAAACCUGCUACUGGUAAUCAAAGCAUACCAUCCUUUUGGAUACACACGUGAGACGGAUCAAGCUUUCAGCUGGAAGCUACAACAGUAUUGUAACAAUCACCUCGAAAGGAAAGUCUGGAAUUGUUUCCUGUUUCUUGGACUGGAAUCUAAAUAGUUCGCUUGGGUUUUUCAGAUUGUGAGGUGUUAUGAAAAUAGAGAAUUUUUGAACCUAUAGUUAUACCUAAAAAGUUGCUGCUACUAUACACAAAAAAAGAAGAUACAAAACCCAUCCAAUUUUGAUACUUUGGAACUUUUAUCGAUUGUGAACAAAAUGGCUGACCAGAAACGUCCUGUUUUUCCUAUAGAAAUCAUCACUCCGUUAUUGAUCCAGCUACCUCCUAAGGUCUUGAUGAAGCUCAUGCAUCUUUCAAGAUCACAGAAGAACUUGAUCGGAGACCCUAGUUCUCUGCGGCACAAUUUGAAAUAUUCUCAGCAAAAGGUAAUGGAUAUCUCUUGUAUUUGACUACGGAGUUAUAACCCGGGGACUUUCAAGUUGAUUGACGAUAGAUCAUUCCGAUAUUUGUUUAGAUUUAAGAAUGCCAUUUUUUUUGGUCCACUCCUCUUUUUCCUUCCUCACUUCUUUAAUCUCACCUGUUUUCUAUCUUGACAAGGACUUCGCCCGAAAGUUACCCACAAUCUGCACGAUCUUAUUUACUUUCUGUCCUUCUUCCUUCUUCUUAACCAGUGUCUAAAAAUAUUUAACUUAGUUCAUGAACUUGUUUAAAUUAACAUGUUUAAGUUAAAUCCUUGAAAUUCCUUCCAUGCAAGUUGAAAAGACAAUCGCUUUAACUUAAUUGAAACCUCAAUUGCAGACUUUUUCAAGUCAAAAAAAUGGAUGAUCUUAUAUUUCCUAAGAGGUAAUUAGUGAAACUAAAGCAGUCUCUUUCCGUAAUAUACAGCUGAUUCUUGAAAGAACCUAGUAAUUACUCCUAUACUAGGAAAGAAAUGGUAUUGGCAAUGUCUAAUCAUAUUGAGAAUUUCAAAUGAUCUGUCAUGUCAAUGGAAAGAAAUAUUUGCUUCAUCAAUCAUGCUGCAUUUCAUAAAUAAAAAACAAAAGGAGCAUUUGCCAAACAAAUUUAAACUUUAGAUUGGGAUAUCUUCGUCUUCUAAUUCUUUAGUUGUCCAAAUUGCUUCAUGAACUUCAAAAUUGUCCUUAAACUUUAGAUUGGGAUAUCUUAUUCCUAAAAUGCAAAAGCUUCUGCCAUUUUAGCCCUUCUCAUAAGAUAAUCAUUACAUUAAAAACUUACUUAAACAAGUAAACUAUGAUUGAAAAUAAUAGAAAUGCUAUUCUCUUUAUCGUGAAAGGACCUUAUGCUACAAGUAAAAUACAACGUGAUAAAGUCAUGACAAUAGAUAGGGAAGCUUCAAUGAGUACCAAAAUGUUGCCUAAUCUUGUGAUCCUGUGAUCUCUUGGCCUAAAAUUUAAUAUCCGUGUUACUAUAACAAGUUACAUAUUUAGUUAACGGUCAUAGUAAAAGCAAAUAAUCUUCAAUCAGUCAAAUGAGUGCCAUCGUGAAUUAAUAGACAUACAUCAACUUAUCUAGGGAUUUUUUUGGGAACAGCAUCAUUUACACAUCUAAAAAAUAAGCACCCAUAUUCUUUAGGGUAUGAUCUCAACUGUAUAUGGUUUUCGAAGUCACAUGGUCAAGCCUGACAAGGUCACAACCAAAUUCCAUCUUACCUGCGGAUUGAGAUAUAAAUUGGGAUUUUGAAUCUUGAAUCUUCUUCAAAUAAUCUGUCGUGAAUUAGAUUGAAAGACAUAUUCAUUUUCUUAAAAGAAAAAAGCAGUAAACUGAACUUAUAACCUGUCAUGGGUCUAUCACAUCACAGGGAAGGAAUGUUGCAACACCAAACAGUGAAAAUGUCUCCAAUGAAACAUCAUAAUAAAAAAUCCCUUCAACUCUACAAAAAUUUUGACACAAACUUUCAAAUAUAGAAGUACUGUGGCACUUUCUUGAAACCUUUCUAUGUUUUGCACAAACUCAAUAGCCAUGCCAAGAAACAUCAUGAUUUGCACGCACCAUGUUUCAAGUUUGAGAUCGCUCCUAUCCUGGAACCCAAACUCAGCAACUGAUUGAAUUCCUCUUAAGUAGCCAUCUUGUCUUGUCAGGGGAUCCCUUGUAGAUCCAUCAUCUUUCAAUGUCACCAAACCAUCAAGCAUGACCUGCGCAGAGGCAUACAGAGUUGUGAACGGAUGAACAGUCAAGUAAUAACUAUACGAUUUGAGCUCCUCAAAUCGAGAGUAACGUUCUCUUUGCGAUCCCUUGACGUAUAUAUAUACAAGAUGAAACCGAAUCUUCUGAAUCUAAAUACAUUGAAUUUUGGUCUACAAUGCUUGGGGAAUGACCAAAUUCUCCACACUUAAGAUGAAAACGAGAAUUGGACGAGAAGUUUAGGAGGAAUUAAGUAACUAGAGAAUAGUAAAGCUGGUCUGCAACAUAAAACACGGAUUUUGCCACAUCCUCUGAUAUUGCAUCAGACUUGAACUUUGCAUCUUUCGUUGUCUUUAUGGCCCCAAUCAAUUAAAUGGAUGCAAAUCAUGCAACGAUGUGGAGGCCAGUGUAUAGUGUAUAAUCCGUUAUAAUCUUACAUGUAUGCAUAAACGGGUGUAUAGCAUGAAUCUUUCACACCUAAACACCUGUUUAUGCACACUGGUGUGAUUAAUUAGCCUUCUCAAGUGGGAAAACUAAUUAACAUAAUACAUAGGGCUCUGAAAUCCUUGCCAACUUAGAGUAGGAGUACGCCUAGAGUGCUAGUGAUGCUUAAAUGCAAUUAGAUGACGGGUUUUAUUUAAUCAGAUUUUUAAACGAUUGCAGUUAUUCUUGGUGCUUUAUGCAUAAAUGGAGAAACCUCAUUCAUUGCUUUUGGAUAUCUUAUCACUCAUAGAAAAGUAUACAUGAUAGAGUAGAAAAACAAAAUUCUCUGCUUAGCGAUGAUUUGAUUUAUUAAACCAAUUGAACAUGUAUACUGGGGUCAAUUUCGAAAGAUUUUGCACUUCGCACUUGUAAACGAUAUUAGAUUCUCAAAUAAUCACACAAAUUAAGACGUUUGAUACUUGGCAUGCUACUAGUCAGCUAGUUAUAGGCUAGAAUAUGACGGUUUAUCAUAUUUUCAUUUUGCCACUUAAAAUGAUCAAAGCGAUUGUGAUGAUGAUGAGCGUUGAGGGAAGUGAAAGUGAAAGUGACAUUAAUUAUCAUUUUGAUUCAAAGCUGUGUCCUUCCAAGCUUGAGAUAUAUAACGAUCUAAGGGGUAGGAAGCAUUUUCUUUUCUGCGGAAAGAAGGGUGGAAGUGACUGAAACAGGAGCAAUAUAAAGAUUGGGACAUCCAGGGAAUGCAGCACAGGAGAAGGGAAUUAAAGGGAGUGGUGACUGAGAAUCUUGUUGAUCCUCCUGAUACAUGCAUGUUCUUGCCUCAAUCUUGAUGAUCAUCCUGAUAUAUGCAUGCUCUUACCUCAGAAUCCUCUAGCUCUGAAGAGGGUAAUGAUGAUUCUGAUGAUAACUACGACAAUAACUAGGAAGAACCAGGGAGCUCUGUUAUCACUUUUAUGGGCCCAUAAAUAUCAAACAACAAAAAUAAUUUAUCAAGCAAGAAAGCACAAAACGAAAAAUGGAGUCUAUCAAAAUGCAGCGGCUACAACUUACUAAAGAAAUGGAGACAGUGCCUUUAGUCACUAUUUCGACAUUUUGAUGAAUGGCUGACUGUGUAUUUCUUAAUUGAAGAAUUACGUAGGUAUACAACUUUCUGUAUAUUCUUUUUUCUUUACAAGUCUUAAAAAUAUAUUGUUCUAUGUCUUUUUCCAAAAUAAAUUGUAAUUUUCUUUUCAAUUUGUCAUUUUAUGGGGAUAAAAAGUUCCAAAUUCAUAAUGGUCUCUUUUUUCUUUUUCUUUUUUUAUAAGCCCUAACGGCCUUGUUUUGAUUUGGUUCAGAAUUUGGGAACCUACUAUCUUUUUAUAGUUAAAAAAGAGUAUAAAACUAAGUCACUUUAUGAGCCUUGACAGUAGAUAUUAACAUUUGUUGAAAAAAACAUAUGAGUCUUGAUAGUAUUAUGCUUCUUUUAAAUAAAAAAAAAGGGAAAAACAAUGGCACAAAGUUGGGCACACUUUUGUUCUUAGUUUUACACAAAUGAAUUAUUAGAUUUUUAAACUUAUGUUGUAAAAAAAAUGUAAUGAGAAAAAUAGAGAUGAAGCUGAAACGCAAAUAGUCAAACUCUCAUUCCACAUUUGUUGAUCUAUUUGAAAUGGUCUUUUUUAUCAUUUGCAAAAUUCUUUUCUUACCAGAAGUUUCCCAAACCUAAAGACACCACCUCUUAAAUACUAAAAUUCAUUAAUUAUAGUAACGUUAUUCACAUUAACGAGUGCCCAUUGAACAUCCGUUAGCCGGACCAAUUAACAAAUAUGUGAAAUGAGGCUUUCAUAGAUUUAAUGACAAUAGUCAGGAGCCAAAAAAAAUUUUAAUAGCGAUAAAGAUGAGAAGCUAUCCGAGGCUUUAAUGAAUUUACAGACACUAGUCAGCAACCAGAAUCUUAUCCCCUUUUCUCGACUGUACUUCUCGGAUGAGUAGCUCACCCUCAAGUAUUUUUAUCUCUCUUUUUCGAGAAGAAAAUAUUAAAAAGAUAGGUUUUCUUAAGCAAACAUUAAUCUUCUUUACAAACAGUGUAACCUAUGCUCCAACAAGUAUUGCAUGGUGGGAAAGGUUUUGGUCUGUAAUCUGCGGAUUAUCAUGAGGUGCACAGAUGUUGCACCUUGCCUGAGCUAUAAUGGUCUUAACAUGAUAAAUGUAUUCUUGAGCAUUUUAAUUAAUCUUUAUAAAUCUUAAUUUAAGAAUAUAGAGAUGCGAUGCGUAGUUGUCAAUUCUAAUUCUUGAACAAUUUUGUUAAGCCUGUUGUUACAUCAGUUUCCCUCAUUUUCUAAGACAUUUCCAUAUCAGAAACUGAAAAAAAAAAAAACUUGUUUUUUAGCUACCCAAAUAUAAACAUGUUUUUUUUAAUUAAUGAAUUCUGCGUAUUUAAUUCCUACUGUUGAGUGUUAUCCAAUACUGCUACUAAAUAUUCAUACAUCAACAUAUGCAUAUCUCUAAUUACAACUAGUAUUUUGAUAUAAUUAAGCAUAUAACUAUGAAGAAAAUUGAUUAUAUAUUUGUAAGGUCUGCUGCUUCUGUUGGCCGACUUGGUGGCCACGAGAACUCUCAUUUUCAUCCAAGUCUGGCGACGUACCCCAUUUUGCAUGGGGGCAAUCCGCCAUCUCCAUUGAUGGAAGUUGUUUUAGCCAGUAGAUCGAGGAGGACCAUAUUGGGCUCCUCGCCAGGAGCUGAACCUAGCUGGACCAGAGCCAUCGGUGUUCAAUCAGGGCAUAGACUGCACUACUUCUGCUGAUCAUGUGGAGCUUAACAUAGAGCAGCUGCCGCCUCUUUUUCCCUCUAUAUUACCUGGCGACUGCAAUGCAUUAAUACUUCAUCAUGAAACUUAAAAGGCAGCGAACCAGAAAAUUUUUCUUCAUCUUAAUUUCUCUACACUUUGAACCUAGUUCAUUUUAGUAUACAGAACUAUUGUUUAGUUGUAAUAUAUUUGGUUUCAAUUUCUCUCAACAAGAAAUUCUAGCCGAGAUUAAGGGCGGAGAGUAGAUGAAUUUAGUUCAAGAUCUGAAGUGAAUGCUCUCUUAGAAUUCAAGCUCCAAUAUUGAAAACUGAAUAUUCAAGAUUGUGUUGUCUAAACAUCUCACUUUCAUUCGUCAAAGUGAUGAAAUGUGCACUUCUAAGCAAUUUAGGGCACUUCUAAGCUCUAGAUGAUGAAAUGUGCAAAUCUCAACAAUUUAGGGCACUUCUAAGCUCUAGAUGAUGAAAUGUGCAACCUUCGUGAAAAAUAUAGAUUCAAUUUAAUUAUUCUAAAAGAAAAAGUAAAAAAAAAAAUCCAUGGCCUAGUUAUUUCCAAAACAGAAAUUAAAAAUUUUUACUUAGACUAUAGACUAGUGCAUUCACAAUGCACCCCAAAAUGGAUGUUUAACUAGCUAAUAUGGCAUGUAUUUCAAUAUAUGAUAUGUUAAGAAAGUAAAUACACCAUUAAAGUCCAUAUUUGCAUGUACAUUUUUAUAUGACAAUGUAAACAUUACACACUCAAGAGUCCACGAAUAUGUCUAGCUGAAUACAUCCCAUCCCAGAAGGUCCUUCUCUGAAACCUUGAGAGCUGAUAGUAGUAGUAUCAGUACCUAAAAAUUCCAGCCACCCCAGAAGCCGAAAUUGUAAUUUCCUCGUGUUAAAUUUAUUGACUUGAUUUGGACUUGCUUGGUUUAGAUUAUGAAAGUCUAGACUGAACUGUUGUCCAAUUGGGCUAUAAAUAUUGUAAUCAAUGUCUUUUUGGAUUUCACUAAAUUCCUUUUUGCACUAUCUAUGACAUCAAAUUCAACUUCUACAAAAGAAGAACUUGCGAAUAAUGGUUUUUAGGUUUGUAAUCCUGGGAUUAUGAGGUGCACACAUGUUGCACCAUGCCUGGCGCUAUACUGGUAUAGCAUUGAGUUUUCACUUUGACACAAGGUAAUAUGUGCAUUAAUCUUCUUACCAUCUCUAUCUGUCGAAAGGAUCAUCUAACCUGGAUUACUGCUUUUAGAUGAACUCUUAAUUUUGCAUUAUGAAUAUCGUGUUAAGAAUCUAGGCCAAAGUUCAAUUUCUGAUUAACUCUUUUUUGGUAGCUAAUUAAUGUCAUCUAAGAAAACAUCAUUAUAUUUAUAGAGUGAUUUUGCCAUUAGACAAAUAUUUGGAAAAAUAAAAAUUUAAGAUGAGACUACUCUAUCAAGGGUUUACUCGUCGUUUUAAUCUAUAGGUCUAAUAUUUUGUUCUACUAAGGUUUGCCUGCUAUCUAGGCCAAGGUUUGAUUGAAAUGAAUUCUGGGCAAUAGCUCAUUUAUGGAAAAUAAUAUGAUAUCAGCAAUCCUUCUUAUAUGUAGAGAGUGUUUUUCUUUUUCCCAUUAACCAAAUAUCUGUCAAAUUUCUUUAACUGGAGACUAGUCUAUCAAGGACGGACUUAUCGUUUAAAACAAUAGGAUCAACUUGCACCAACUGUGAAAUCCACCAUACCUAACCAGCUUAAAAAUUAUUCAAACCUUAUAAAUUUUAACAGAUUUCAGUAUCAAUUAUACGUUGCUUAACGUAUCGUUAUACCUAGGAAUUGGGCAGGUUGGACGGGUUGAUAUUGGAUUUUCACUUAAAUGGGCUACACUCAACCCGUCCAACUUUAAAUUGGGUUGAUUUUGGGUUGAAUUAUAUUGGAUCAUCUCAAACUCAUGAUCUAACAUAUUAAUUAAUACAUUUUGAUAUAUAAACUUUUUUACAUACAUUUUAACACGUAAAAAGAUUUUUUUUCCACACAUAAACAUAUUUUCACAUACAUAAAUGUAUUUUCACACACACACACACACUUCUUAAGCUUCUUAGAAAUACGUCAUAAAUAGAAUAAUAUUUUAUAUUCCUUGUAUUAUGAAUUUUAGAUAAUAAAUUGUACAUUGAAAUAGAUUAGCUAAAAAAUUUUGUUUACUUUAUACUUUUUAAUACGACUAAUUGAUUGAAAUUAUUUUUUAUCACUAUUAACACUUUUACUACUCAUAUAUGCUUUAUUGUAAGUUAUAAUAUUCUAUAUAUUUAAAUAAUUGAAUGCUAGAUUAUAUAAUGCUUGAAAAUAUAAUUAAAAGACAUAUCAUAUGUUGUAUUAUAAUAUUGGUGAGGAAUUAUUAACAAUGAAAUAAAACAAAUUAGAGAAAGUAAAAGAAUGCAAUUAGAAUAGGUUUAACUCUAUUCCACGUACACGAAAUAUUAACAAACAGAAAUAUUAACAAACAGAAGCAGAACCACCAGGUAAUUGAUUACAUAAUACAAGAGCAAAAGAGAUACAAAACUAGUCCCAAUUUCAUACUUUAAAACUUGAGUGAAGUGUCAAGCCUUCAUUAUACACAGGAAUAAUGCAAUCUUUAAGUGCCUAAGAAACUAGCUUAAUAGAAGUGCAUGAAGUAUUACAACUAUAUGAUCCCAUGAAGCUAGUAACAAGGCUGUUAGGCCAAUCACUUCCUCGAACGAAAACAACACAGGCCAUUGCGUACUCCGAUGUCCCGUUGCCGCCUUCUUGCACGCACGGGAUUGCUUACUCUGAUGUCCCUUUGCCUUUUUCCACACUCGCACGGGUUAUGGCUGUCAGGCUUUGCAAGUUCUUGCCUCGCCUAAGCUUUUCAAAAGUAACCCAUCUAACGAGGCAAGGGACCCGAUAAAAUAAAAGCCAUUAGCUGAAUCCCCAACUCUUAAAAAGGCAGAAAUUGUGCGCAUGAAUGGAGCCCCAUCCACCCACAAAUCCACCAAAAGAAACAAGCGGAAGAGCAACAGAUGAUGUGAUUUCCCAGAUCACAAAACAUUAAGACAUAAUAUAUUGUGAUUUACUAUAGGAAGACCUGGAGAAGAACCAUAUUUAAUAAUGACCAAUACCAUCACAUAAGAUCAGCUUUCCCUCCUCCUCUUGCCCGGGCUUGGGACCGGCUGUCUGUGGAGACAGGCGGAGUUACAAAGCAUCCUACCAAACAAAACAGCACAAGCAUACAGACAGGGGGAAUCUCCAAUAGAGAACAAUAGAGGACAGAUGCAUCUCCAAUAAAACCAAAAAAAACAAAAAAAAUCCAACUCAUACGCAGCAGUGUCCAAAAAAGCAACAGGCAGAGGGAAUCUUCAAGUUAUCCCCACCAAAAGGCAAGCUACAAACGUCUCACAAAUAGCAAAAUAAACUUGCAACAAUCUGCACCAGAGUACAAGAGAACUCUACGAAUAGCACACCAAACAUAUUACCAAAAUUACCACACUUACUUUGUUUACUUGUUUUUAUACCAAGGCUCACCUUCUGCAUACUUAACCUAUAAAUCAACUAAAUUUUCAUCAAGUUAGGGGGCUCAACCACUGUGUGAAACAAAUGUGAUGCUACAGUUAAUUUUCUAUAGCAUUCAAGGUACCAAAAAGAAUUAGGAAAGGUCUAAAGAAAAGCUCCGGUGAAGAGAAUCGGAUAUCAAAACAGAUUUACAUACAAAAAAAUAAAAAUAAAAAUUUUGAAAAUUUUGAAAAAAAUUAUGAUGCUAAAGGCUGAUAAAAGAUCAAAUAUUAUAUAGUGCAAGUAUCCAACAAAUAGACCCUACUUAUGGGACUUAAAAAGUCACACAAAUCACAGGGGCUUAAGCUACACAGGUAAAUCAUACAGAAAAUGACAAGUUGCCCUAGAAAACAGGAACUCUUUCAUUUCUUAAAUCCACCGAAAUCAACCUCAAAAG